rnacentral:lncRNA from 1 species
CAUCACAGCGAGAAGCUUGCUAUUGCAUUUGCUCUACUAAAUACUCCAGAGAAUGCAACUUUGAGAAUUAUGAAAAACCUCAGAGUGUGCAAUGACUGCCAUUCUGCCAUUAAAUAUAUUGCUAAACUUGUUGGUAGGGAAAUUAUUGUUAGAGAUGCUACACGUUUUCACCAUUUUAAAGAUGGUUCUUGUUCCUGCAGAGAUUAUUGGUAAGAGUUGAGAAAUUUAUAUACAAGGAGUUGCAAGACAUUUGCAAAUUGACACUGCCAUCAUAUACUCAUUACCAGCUUCAUGCUUCUUCAUGGUUGCUGCUUCAAAAUACUAUUAUUAUGUGGGUGCUAUCAACCUGAACAAGCCUUUUAAAACAUGCUGCAAUUAUCUACCAAGAUCAUGCAAUUGCAAAAAAAUUCUGAAUCAUUCACGUCUAUGAUAUGAGGAAACCAAAAGACAUCUGCUCUGAUCUAAGUUCAACACCAGCGAUGUCGUCCUCGCCCCCUCUACAAGAGAUUCAGAUAUCUGGGAAGAGCAUCGUGCGGAGUUUAUUGUGGUUGAUGUUGACAUCAUGGAACCUCACAAAGGCAUAAUUGAAUCUAUCAGUAAUGGUACAUCUGCACUUGUAUAUAUGUUGAUGAUUUUUGGUAGUGAAGGAUUGAGAUAUUUGGUAAUUUGGAAUUUGGAGAACAGGUGUGGGUUUACUUGGUGAGUAUUUUAAAUAGCUGAUAGCAUAUCUUGUUUUGUUCUUGUUUGAGGUUCAACAAGUGAGAUUGAAUGCAAAAGUAGAUUGACAAGGUGAAGAAGAGAAUUGAAAAUAUUUGUGUUAUACUGCAAAGUUUUUUGGUGAUGUGAAUCAUCUGUACCAAGGCGAGUAGAGUGUGAAGCUGGUGGAAAUGUCACAACUCACAACUCUACACUCAGAGAACAUGCCUAUCAACAAGAGAAGCACAAGUGUAUGUUAAUUAUGAUUGAAAGCAGUGCAGAUUUUUGAGUAGGCAAGCAAGUGUGAUUGAAUUGAAUCACUUGCAUUUUAUACUCCAAUCUGCAGACUAUUUCAGAUCACGCCCAACUUUAUAGUUCUUUACUACUACUUGUCACGUAUUUUAAGGUUCCCACAAUUUAUAAAUAUAGUUCCAUAAGUUAAUUUUGAGAUUUCCUUUCUGAGUAAAAAAAUCCGUACUCUUGUCAUAUUCACUUUUAGCUUCUUGCAGGGUUCAUAAAAAUGUGGAGCUUGCCAAGGCAGCUGCUGAAAGAUUGCUUCAAAUCGAUCCUGAAAAUAGUGGGGCAUAUUCCGCACUUGCUAAUGUAUACUCCGCAUGUGGUAAAUGGCAGGACGCUGCUAUGAUAAGAAAAUCAAUGAAGGAUAAGCAGGUGAAAAAAGAGCAAGGAUUUAGUUGGCUUCAGAUAAGAAAUGAAGCUCAUGUCUUUGGGGUCGACGAUGCGCUGCACCCACAAAGAGAUGCCAUUUAUCAGAUGAUGGAUAAAAUCUGGAAAGAAAUAAAAAAGAUGGGGUUUGUUCCACAAACGGAAGCAGUGUUACAUGAUCUUGAGGAAGAACUUAAGGAACAGAUUCUUAAACAUCACAGCGAGAAGCUUGCUAUUGCAUUUGCUCUACUAAAUACUCCAGAGAAUGCAACUUUGAGAAUUAUGAAAAACCUCAGAGUGUGCAAUGACUGCCAUUCUGCCAUUAAAUAUAUUGCUAAACUUGUUGGUAGGGAAAUUAUUGUUAGAGAUGCUACACGUUUUCACCAUUUUAAAGAUGGUUCUUGUUCCUGCA